rnacentral:rRNA from 1 species
CUCAGGAUGAACGCUGGCGGCGUGCUUAACACAUGCAAGUCGAACGGUGAAAGAGAGCUUGCUCUCUGGAUCAGUGGCGAACGGGUGAGUAACACGUGAGCAAUCUGCCCCUGACUCUGGGAUAAGCGUUGGAAACGACGUCUAAUACCGGAUACGAGCUGCGACCGCAUGGUCAGUAGCUGGAAAGAACUUCGGUCAGGGAUGAGCUCGCGGCCUAUCAGCUAGUUGGUGAGGUAAUGGCUCACCAAGGCGUCGACGGGUAGCCGGCCUGAGAGGGUGACCGGCCACACUGGGACUGAGACACGGCCCAGACUCCUACGGGAGGCAGCAGUGGGGAAUAUUGCACAAUGGGCGCAAGCCUGAUGCAGCAACGCCGCGUGAGGGACGACGGCCUUCGGGUUGUAAACCUCUUUUAGCAAGGAAGAAGCGAAAGUGACGGUACUUGCAGAAAAAGCGCCGGCUAACUACGUGCCAGCAGCCGCGGUAAUACGUAGGGCGCAAGCGUUAUCCGGAAUUAUUGGGCGUAAAGAGCUCGUAGGCGGUUUGUCGCGUCUGCUGUGAAAUCCCGAGGCUCAACCUCGGGUCUGCAGUGGGUACGGGCAGACUAGAGUGCGGUAGGGGAGAUUGGAAUUCCUGGUGUAGCGGUGGAAUGCGCAGAUAUCAGGAGGAACACCGAUGGCGAAGGCAGAUCUCUGGGCCGUAACUGACGCUGAGGAGCGAAAGGGUGGGGAGCAAACAGGCUUAGAUACCCUGGUAGUCCACCCCGUAAACGUU